GAUGAACGCUGGCGGCGUGCUUAACACAUGCAAGUCGAACGAAGCACUUUAUCUUAUUUCCUUCGGGACUGAUUAUUUUGUGACUGAGUGGCGGACGUGUGCGUAACGCGUGGGUAACAUGCCUUGUACAGGGGGAUAAUAGUUGGAAACGGCUGCUAAUACCGCAUAAGCGCACAGCAUCGUAUGAUUCAGUGUGAAAAAUUCCGGUGGUAUAAGAUGGACUCGCGUUGGAUUAGCUGGUGGGUGAGGUAACGGCCGAGCAAGGCAGCGAUCCAUACCCGAGAGGGGAGGGUGACCGGCCACAUUGGAACUAAGACACGGCCCAAAAUACUAGGGGAGGGAGGAGAGGGGAAUAUUGCACAAUGGGCGAAGGCCUGAUGCAGCGACGCCGGGUGAGCGAAGAAGUAUGUCGGUAUGUAAAGCUCUAUCAGAAGGGGAGGUAAUGACGGUAACUGACGAAGAAGCACCGGCUAAAUACGUG
rnacentral:rRNA from 1 species